rnacentral:lncRNA from 1 species
UUUGCACACGUUUCCAUUUAAUUUGGUUCUUGAUUUAGAUCCUACAUCUAUUAAAUAAAGAAAAUAAUUUUUUGCAAAAUAUAAUAUACAAUGGAAUCUAGAAAUGGAUGGGUUCAAACAAAUUAUAUCAUUCAUGUCAUUUUUACCAAAUGAUAUAUAUUCUUUUGCAAUAAAAGAAUAAUCUUUUGUUUUUUCUUCUAAUUUAUAAUUAUUGUCUGUUUGUAAAUUUGUGUUAUUUAAUGAUGACCCUUUUAUCAUUUGUUUAGAAGUAUUAAUAACCUGGUUGGUGUUAUUGUCACCGUCACCAUCUUCAUCCUCAUAUAUGAACUUUUUUUCAAAGUAUGUUUCUGUUAUCAAAACAUUUGCGAUUAAAUUUUUAUCUGUUUGCAUAUUACAAUUUAAUAAUAACCAAGAAUAUAUUUCUGUAUUAUUUAAAAUAUCAUUUCGUAUGUUCAUAUAAAUUCGACCUAAUUGGUUUUGCCCUUUUCUAUUAUAAACACCAAAAAAAAUAUAAAUCAUUAAUCAUAUUUUUAUUAUAUACUUUUUCAAUAUCCUCAACAUUAACUUUAUAUAUUAUUUCACGUUUUCCUGUUUGUUUUAGGCUUUCACGCAGUUUUUCAUACUUCCGAAAUUUAUCUCUUUGCAUAGAGUCUACCCACCUUAAUUUAUUUGUGUUCCACACAGGGUUCUACAAAAAAAAAAAAAAAAAAAAAAAAAAAAAAAAAAAAAAAAAAAAAAAAAAAAAAAAAAAUCAAAAGGAAAAGCGCAGUAGUAGUGACAGUAACAACAAACGGUACAUAUAAAUAUACCCAUUCUUUACAUGUAUUAAUCAUACUUGACAACACAAUUUCUGGGUCCUCACUUUUUAAAUAUUGUUUGUUAGUAGGUAUAAAAAAAAUAUAUAUUAUUUUUUUUUUUAUUCCAAUUUUUGCCAAGCACACGGAAAUAUAUAUACAUACGUACAUACAUAUAAACACAUGUUUCCACUUUUGUUUUCUUUUUUGCUUGAAUGAUAAGACUUACAAAAUUUACGCACGCUUCCUUACUACUGCACAAUGAAAAAGACAUAAGCUUCCAUCGGUUAAAAAUUUAUGACAUUAUAAAACUGUUGAGAAGAAUAAAGAUAUAAAACAAGAUGACUUAGAUAAGAUA